CUCAAUUUCCAGUGUGUUACUCCAGUGAGUUAUAACAUCAACAGAUUAACAGAUAAUCUAUAAUUUAUCCUGAUUUUUCUAUUUACCUUCUAUCAACUCCUUUUCAAUUGUAUUUUUAAAAUGUAAAUUUCUACACAGUCUAUAUAACACAGGAUAUUGAAAGCGUACUGGAGUAAUAGAAUUUCAAUUGAGAUUCCUUUGUGUUGUGAAUGGAAUGAAAACCUGUUGAAAACCCUGCUCAAAUGUGUUACUGAAACAAUAUAACUUGGAUAGUACCAGUCCACAUAUUUGGAUGAAAUUAUGAUGUAUUUUUUGAGAAAUUCUUUCCCUACAGUGUGUUCUCAGUCUUGCCUUCUUAAAUUGUUACAUUGUGGUGCGAAGCCAAACAGAACAAGAUGUUUAGUUAGCUGAUCUUAAAUGGUUGAAGAGGUGAAACACACUGUAGUUGGUAUUAAGUUUCCUGGGCAAAGAAAAAACUUUAGUCAAGGAUCUUACUGUUUAUUGCUGUAGUGGCCUUGCUGAAAAUAUCCAGAUUAUUUUAAUGUUUCAGUUGUUCUUUUGAAAGGGUUUUUGAUCAGUUUUCAUUUAGCAAGACAUGCAAAGAAAAGCUACCAUAGGUUGAAGCAUAUAAAUUAAACCUUUUCUUUUCUGGCCACAUGUGUACUUUUCAUGUUUUGGUGACCAUGAUAAGAUUGUUUUACAUUUUUUUUGUUGUUUUGUUAAAACCAGCUUCUUAUAUUUAAAACCAGAAAGCACCAUCCAUUGAAGGCCAGAAAAAAUUAGGAGUGUGAGAGAGGAUUGGGAUCCCAAAGUUGCUUAAGGAAAUUUGCUGAAUGAA